GGUGGACCAGGCAUUGCUGACAUCUCUCCUUGCCAAAAAUCCUUCCCCUCUUCUUCUAUGAGUGGUCAGUGAGCUUCUUGGCAUGGAAGAAAAGAGUGACGAUCCAGAUUUGUAGCUGGAGCAUCUAGACAGGUUAUGUUAUCAGCCAAACAAGGGUCACUGACACAAUGAGGGCAACAUUCGCCUUCUGAUAUUGCUGUGAAGUCACAGAUGAGAGUGGGGCAUGCAAGCGGCCAACAAUCUACUUCACCUUCCUGUGAAAACAGAGGGAGAACCACACAUUUGCAACCAAAACUGCCAUGAAAUUCAGAUUAGACAGAGUCACUGGUGGAGAAAGACCAAAAUGGUGAACGUUGUAAUGCCUUUGAAGAUGCCACAUUUAUAUUGAAGAACUUGACUUACAGUCCAACAGAGGAAGUAGUAGAAGACUUUGUCACCAUAUCUAACAACUCAGCACAAUUUCACAUUCCUUUCUCACUGAAAUCACGAUGUAAAAGUGCUUCACUCUAGAUUGGCUCACGCUCUCCGACUCAUUUUUGAAAAAACUUUUUAUUUAUACCCCUCGGAAAUGAAGCUUUAAUACAACAAGUGCUAAAUAUUUACUCCUUGCAUAGGAUCCUGCACAUUUCAGUGGCUACAGAUUAAAUUACAAUCCUUGUGAUAACUAGAGCAUCAAUAUUGUUUUAAAAUGUAAAAAAGAAAGUAUGUGUUGGCUUGAUGGAAAAGGGAAAAUGAGUUUAUUCAAAUUGUGAGGAUGAUAAUUAUAGGAAUUAUUGUGCUGGAAACUCUACCUGUUAUUAUAGGUGAAUAAAUAAUUUCAGUGGUUUUAC